rnacentral:rRNA from 1 species
GACGAACGCUGGCGGCGUGCCUAAUACAUGCAAGUAGAACGCUGAAGAGAGGAGCUUGCUCUUCUUGGAUGAGUUGCGAACGGGUGAGUAACGCGUAGGUAACCUGCCUUGUAGCGGGGGAUAACUAUUGGAAACGAUAGCUAAUACCGCAUAACAAUGGAUGACACAUGUCAUUUAUUUGAAAGGGGCAAUUGCUCCACUACAAGAUGGACCUGCGUUGUAUUAGCUAGUAGGUGAGGUAAUGGCUCACCUAGGCGACGAUACAUAGCCGACCUGAGAGGGUGAUCGGCCACACUGGGACUGAGACACGGCCCAGACUCCUACGGGAGGCAGCAGUAGGGAAUCUUCGGCAAUGGGGGCAACCCUGACCGAGCAACGCCGCGUGAGUGAAGAAGGUUUUCGGAUCGUAAAGCUCUGUUGUAAGUCAAGAACGGGUGUGAGUGUGGAAAGUUCACACUGUGACGGUAGCUUACCAGAAAGGGACGGCUAACUACGUG